rnacentral:rRNA from 1 species
GGUAUCGCCGUUAGUCAUGUGCAAAUAUGGAUAGCUGUUUUAGCCGUCUUUAUUGACUGGUUUAUAAGAGUUAUCAGAUAUCACUUUGAUUAAAUUAGAGUGCUUAAAGCAAGUGUGUUACUUGUAUAUAAAUGCAUGGAAUGAUGGAAUAUGUUGUUAUUCUAUUUGUUGGUUUUUGAAUGAUAAAAUGAUUGAAAGGAACUGUUGGGGGCAUUCGUAUUGUUGUGAGAGAGGUGAAAUUCUUAGACCACAGCAAGACGAACUACUGCGAAAGCAUUUGCCAAGAAUGUUUUCAUUGAUCAAGAACGAAAGUUAGAGGUUCGAAGGCGAUCAGAUACCGCCCUAGUUCUAACCAUAAACUAUGCCAACUAGCAAUUUGCUUUGUAUUUUUUAUGACUAAGUGAGAGGCCACGGGAAACCUAAGUAGGGUUAUGGGGGAAGUAUGGUUGCAAAGCUGAAACUUAAAGGAAUUGACGGAAGGGCACCACCAGGAGUGGAGCCUGCGGCUUAAUUUGACUCAACACGGGAAAACUUACCUGGUCCCGACACUAGAAGGAUUGACAGAUUGAUAGCUCUUUCUUGAUUUGGUGGAUGGUGGUGCAUGGCCGUUCUUAGUUGGUGGAGUGAUUUGUCUGGUUAAUUCCGAUAACGAACGAGACUCUAGCCUAUUAAAUAAUACACGGAAUUUUAUCUUCCGCGGUAUUUCUUAGUGGGAUCAAGCG